CUUUUGAUAUUUCUCACCAUUCUUCCUUUCUCUCGGUGACUUCUAAUCCUCCCCUGCUCCUCCAACAAUGGCGGACUAUGGCGUAGCAAUCUCUCUUUCUCAAGCUCACACCUCAGACGGCGACUCGUCCGAGCACAGCCCUCGAAGUGUCCCUAGACUCUCCGCCUCUGGCGGAGGCGGUUCCAAGUCUAAAACUCCUUCCAACAAGAUUGUUACCCUUGAUUAUCACCACCGAACUCCGUCGUCGUCCGACAACACUGGUAGGAAGCCUAGAGGGAGACCUCCAGGGUCCAAAAACAAGCCCAAGCCACCCAUUGUUAUAACCAGAGAUAGUAACUCGACUAUGAAGCCAGUGAUUCUCGAGAUCUCCGCUGGUUCUGAUAUUAUUGAUGCCAUUAUCAGCUUUGCUCGUACACACAGUGUUGGUGUUAGCAUUAUCAGUGCUACUGGGUCUGUUUCAAAUGUCACGCUCUGCCAUCCUGUAUCUCACGCGCCAGCGCUAUCUCUUCAUGGACCCUUUUCUCUACUCUCUUUGUCUGGCUCAUUCAUUGCCUCUAGUACUCUAUCUUCUAACAAAACAAGCCAAUCAUCUUCAUUGUCAACGUCACCGUCUCCUUCCUUGUCUUCUUCUGGUUCGUUCGGUGUAACUCUUGCAGGGGCACAAGGGCAAGUUUUCGGAGGGAAAGUAGGAGGGAAAGUAAUGGCCGCAACGCUGGUGAUUGUGGCGGCCGCUACGUUUGUAAACCCUGAGUUCCACAUGCUGCCGGGUGAAGGUGAUAAUAAGGACCAUAAUCAGGAAUCCAAGCCUUCUACACAUGGUUGCGUUGCUGGUGGUGCAACCGAGUCUUGCACUUCUACUGGCUUGUCCAUGCCUGUUUAUGGAGUAGCAAGUCCCACUCCCCUCAAUUGUCAAAUUCCUCCUGAUGUUAUGCCUUGGGGUCCUUCCUCACGUCCUUAUUGAGUAGAACAUGAACAAGGGCAUUUGAGAAUUCCAACAUACAUUCAUUAACUAGGAUUGUUCACGUCUCGUCAAAUACUGAUACUUGUAUGGACGAUGUGGAAAAGAUGGCGAGGCUUCAGUACUUUCAGGCUUUCGGCUAGUUCUCACUCAAUCUAGGGCUGCUAUACGACAGAACCAAUGGAAAUGUGGGUUUUUGAGGUAUUCAAUGUCAGGGGUCUAACCUUUCCCUUGGGAAGGGGCUUUUUUUUUUUGUUACAAAUCCAAAGCAAAAUGUUUCUUGGCAGCUUUUCUUUCUCGUCUUCUCGUAGAUCAGUCGCUUUUAUGUUUUGAUUUGGCUUGUCCUCAACUCUUAAACUCCAUAGUUACUAAUGGCUGGUAUCUGAUCCUUCAAAAUUUAAAAAUUGUUAUGCAUCCUCUAUAUGUAUGUAAUAUAUGUUUUAAAUUUCGUUAUCCAAGAAUUCACAUACAAGAUCUAAUGAUAUAAUUA